rnacentral:lncRNA from 1 species
AAGAUUACCUGGGUGAAAGGUCCAGACGUAGUCCCGAGUAUUAGAACCAAGUUGUAAAAGUUUGCAAGUCAUAAAUAUUCGUCUUUCAAGUCCAAAAAUACAUCCAACCAAUCAAACUCUUUUCUUCACCGCCAUGUGUUCUUUAAAACCUUUUUAUAAACGAAAGACAUCUUGUUUUAAGGUGAUGUAAAGCAAUGUUUCGUCCAUAAUUGUUGAGUUGAGAUAAGUGAUGUUUUU